rnacentral:rRNA from 1 species
AUUGAACGCUGGCGGAAUGCUUUACACAUGCAAGUCGAACGGCAGCACGGGUGCUUGCACCUGGUGGCGAGUGGCGAACGGGUGAGUAAUAUAUCGGAACGUAUCCAAUAAUGGGGGAUAACUAAUCGAAAGGUUGGCUAAUACCGCAUACGUCCUACGGGAGAAAGCAGGGGACCUUCGGGCCUUGCGUUAAUGGAGCGGCCGAUAUCUGAUUAGCUAGUAGGUGAGGUAAAGGCGCACCUAGGCGACGAUCAGUAGCUGGUCUGAAAGGACGACCAGCCACACUGGAACUGAGACACGGUCCAGACUCCUACGGGAGGCAGCAGUGGGGAAUUUUGGAGAAUGGGCGCAAGCCUGAUCCAGCCAUUCCGCGGGAGUGAAGAAGGCCUUCGGGUUGAAAAGCUCUUUCGCAAGGGAAGAAACGAUACAGUCUAAUAAACUGUGUUAAUGACGGUACCUUGAUAAGAAGCACCGGCUAACUACGUACCAGCAGCCGCCGUAA